AAAUCAUCAAAGUUUUCACCAGUUUAUCACUGUUAAAGACACCAAGUUCUCACACAUGCACUGAGUGCAAGGGAAGAAUGAAAGCAAUCCCAUCUAAAGUUUCUCUGUACAGUCAGCGCACACUGAUAUUAAUCUAGGUUUGUACUUGCCAAGUAAGCAAAUGGUUACUACUGCUUGUGUGUGCGUGUAUGUGUGAUCAGAAGAAUUAGUUUGAAUUAGUUUUGAUACAAAGAACAAUAAUGUUUUAUACUGUCUAGCUGUUAGUAAUUUUGAUGUGCCACACUGAGGUGAUUAACACGUGAGGUUGUUGAACACUGGUACUGUUAUGAAAGGGUACUGGAACGUCUACUUUUCAAAGUUCUUGAAGUUCAUUGAAUAGGAAACUGGAAACCUGAGUUCAAAUUUCAUCCUUUGUUACAUGCAUUUUAUGUUACCAUGGUAACUUCCAUGCCUUCAUUGGCUCAAUUUUCCCUUCUGUGAAAUGGGGGGUAACCAGUGAGAUACGUUGAUCUCACUCAAUGUAUACUGUAUAAAAUGUUACUGUAUAAAAUUGCUUAUGGCAGCUGGUAAAAUAUUAUCCCUGUGUUAAAGUGGAAAUGAUUAUGAAAAUGCACAUAAAAAAGAAUUUUCACUUGUUCAUAACAUGUUUUUCUGUUUGUUUUGUGUGUACACACAACGCUUUUCGGUUUGCUCUUUGCUGCUGUUUGUGACCUGACUAGAAUUGUGUGUGCAGUCCCAGAAUUUCUAGAAGCAGGAAGAAGGUCCUCUAGACUGGUAAACUGAAUUGAUAUGAAGUUGAAAUACUUACCUAUGCAGCAGCUGGUCAUGAUUUUGCACCCUUCAGAAUGCCUAUCAAGUAUCUACAGUGAACAGAAUGAAGUUAGCAGUCUUUGGGUAUGCAUCAGUGUCCAAAAAUACAGUUCUAGUUUAAAGUAUCAGAUAUGAAACUUGUGCUGCUUAUCAUGUGUAGUACUAAUGUCCCUGUUAUCCCAGAGAUAAUAUUUUCUUUUCACAGCUGCUAAAAGCUCCUAAAACUCUUUGAAAAUGGUGCAUUGAGAGUCCAAUUAGUUUUAAAAUCAAAUCUUGUGAAAUUUGCUGUGUUCUUUGAUUAUAAAGUGUUUUGGAGCAGAUUUCUAAAGCCUUUUGUCUUCAAGUUAUGCAUAGUCAGAUGGAACAAUACUCAUAUUUUUCAGUGUCCCCUAAAAGGCAUCAAAUUUUUAGGCCCAUCUGACAGAACUAAAAAAAACUUUUAAUACAUGCAAAUUGAGAUGUUUAUUCAUGCUGGAAAACCCAUGUUCCCAUUUAUAAGUGUACUGGUUUUAGCCAGACUGGUGCAGUAUACACAGAAGAAAGUAAGUGACACCAUUUCAGCAAAAUAUUUUAGGAGCAGCAAGUAUGGCUGUGGGCAGAAGAUGUAAAACAUAUAUGCCUAAGCACAUCUGUGGGCUUGAUUUUCAGUGGAGAAGUGAAAGCUUUUUGCAUGACUGAGGGUCUGAAACUACUCUUUCCAAAACUUCAGCUCCUGGCAGCCACAAUUAUGAAAAAAACCUUCAAAAUAUGAUGUAAGUGCAAACCGAGAAGGUAUUGUGUUUCUCACAGUUUCAGGAUUUUUGCUCAACAUUCUUUUCUGCAUUAGCAAAUGGGCCAAACUUUGAGUGGUUUUAUUGCUGCUUAUUCUGUACCUUGUAGGAUGGUAAAAAGUGUAAGUUGUAUCACUUUACUGUUUGCUCAUGAGCUCUGUGCAGAAAUAGAAACAGAUACUGGUGCUGUGCUAUUCCUUCCUCAUUUCUGAGAAAGAAAUAAAAUAAUUGGGACUAUCCAUCUGCCUAGUCUUCCUUCCUUGUUACUCCUAGAACUUCUUUUGAUGUAGGUUCAGCCUACCCAUUAGCUAACACUGCAAAAAGGUCUUAGGCUGUGGGAUGUUUUUAUUGUCUUGUCUUUUUUUUUUUAAUUAUCUUCCAGGGGACAAGACUCAACCCCCUUGCACUUAAACAACCCCCUUCCUCCCACCAUAUGCAAACGACCUGUUUUUAUGAGCGCAAAAUCCUUGAGAUUUCUGUGUCUGCUCUGUAUAUGACAAAACAGCAGAAAAGGAUGACCUACUUCCAAUCCUCCCCACCAACGUUCCUGCUCUUUGGGCUGGUUAAAAGUGAUGUAACUCUGGUAUCAUUUUUUCUUCGCCAAGGAGAAGUUCUGACCAACUUUUGGCAUUGAAAGGAAGAGGUCCCCAUAGCUUCAUAUGAGUCUGUAAAUUAUAUUUUUUUACAAGAACACCCAUAAAGUGUAUGGAGAGAGUGGAGAGAUGUGUGGGAGACCUGAAAAACAGAAGCCCCCUGAAGGCCUUUCCAUCAAGCUUUGCAAAUGCAAUACUGUGAAAGGAAGGUAUAACUUCCAGUUUGGCUAUGUUUGCUGAAGAAAAAGUUAGAUAUGCUAACUGGAAGACCACAGGGGUCCAAAAUAGACCAGUCUCCUUCAGCUAACGUUCAGUUGAGUGAUGGCUAUGCGAUAGAAAUGCAGUCCUUUUCUGCUAGUUGUUUCAAUGACAGAAAUAAUCUGCUCGAAAACUGUUCCUAAGCAGGAAGAGUCAGUGCUGUUCCUUUCCAGCCUCCUGCCGGCUGCCCAGGAAAGAGCUGCCACAUGUAUGAUGCCGAGUAUUGCUUGCAGCAAGUGCUGACCCUUGGGAAGGAGAGUGCCGGCUGACUCCUGCAGGACAGGCUGCCUUCUCCAG